GCCCCGCCCCCUCCGCCUCUCCUCCAGCCGCUCCGUCCCUCCCAGCUCGCUCCCCCGCGCCGAGCUCAGCUCUGUCAGCGUCCGGUGCACCUCGCGUCCGGGUCAGGCCUCCGGGCCGGCUUCCGCGGUCGCCAUGACGGCGGCCGUGUUCUUCGGCUGCGCCUUCAUUGCCUUCGGGCCUGCGCUGGCCCUCUACAUCUUCACCAUCGCCACCGAGCCGUUGCGCGUCAUCUUCCUCAUCAUCGGAGCUUUUUUCUGGUUGGUGUCUCUGCUGUUUUCCUCCCUUUUUUGGUUCAUGGCAAGAACCAUUACUGACAACAAAGAUGGACCAAUACAGAAAUAUCUGCUGAUCUUGGGAGUGUUAGUCUCAGUCCUUAUCCAAGAAAUGUUUCGGUUUAUGUAUUAUAAACUUUUAAAAAAAGCCAGUGAGGGUUUGAAGAGUAUAAAUCCAGAUGAGACAGCACCUUCUAUGCGAUUGCUGGCCUAUGUUUCUGGUUUAGGCUUUGGAAUCAUGAGUGGAGUAUUUGCCUUUGUAAAUACCCUUUCCGACUCCUUGGGACCAGGCACAGUGGGCAUUCAUGGAGAUUCUCCCCAGUUCUUCCUAAAUUCAGGAGCUUACCCUCUAAUAGAGAAAACAAGACUAAACAAAACUUUCAUGACGCUGGUUAUCAUAUUGCUGCACGUGUUCUGGGGCAUCAUAUUUUUUGAUGGCUGCGAGAAGAAAAAGUGGUCUGCCCUUCUUGUAGUUCUUCUGACCCAUCUGCUGGUGUCAGCCCUGACCUUCAUAAGUCCUCAUUAUGGAAUCAAUCUGGUGUCAACAUAUAUAAUUAUGGUACUUAUGGGCAUCUGGGCAUUCUUUGUUGCUGGAGGCAGCUGCCGAAGCCUGAAAUUUUGCCUACUCUGCCAAGACAAGGACUUCCUCCUUUUCAACCAGCGCUCCAGAUAACCUCUGAGAACCAGCACCUGUCAAACAUUGGAACAAGGACUUCCCCUGUGUCCAGCCUCAACAUGUGAGAAACCUCCAGUGGAAAGAAGUACAUAGUUUAUCUUCACCUCAUUGAAAAUGCUGAAUAGAUGAACCACUCAACCACUCAACUGGCUUAUGGAUUCAGUCGCAGUAAAAGAAUUUUUAAGGAUUUGACACAUUCUCAGGGAUAUUCUUCAAGACCCAGAGAUCUCAGCCUACCGCUCACUUGCUCUUAAAGUGAUGUGGGGAACGAAGGACUAAAGCAGCCCCAUGCCAAGGACUGAGGCCCACCAAGCUCCGUUUGAAUUUUACAUUGUUUAUAUUUUGACGCAGUACACAUCCUCUCCACGUGAGGACCUACUGAUUUUCAGCAAUUUUGCAUCGGUUUAUGGAGCACCUAUUAUGAGCAGGAAUUACUCAGGGUCUCGGGUCCGCCGGGUUGAACACAACAACAGGGCCCCUGCUUGCCCAAACUUGCAUCCUUUGGGAUACUUCAGGCUGGAAAAAUUGGUGUGGGACUGACCACAGCUCCAGAUAGGUCUUUGGGGCUGGUGGAGGUAUGACCUUCCUAAUAGGAAACCCUUGAGGACACUGACUCUUGAUACCCACAUCUAGAGCAAAUAUAAAACCCAAUCUGAUAAGGAUGCUUGAAAAAUAUCAAGUAAUUAUAUGCCUGGAAUCACAGAGCUCAGUGCAAAGUUUAUACUGGGAGAGUGUGACAAUACUACAAACUAAUGCCAAACUACCAGUGAGCAGGAAGAGACUUAAAAAAUAAAUCCUCCAGGGCUCAGGCUUCUUGCUAACUACCGGGUAAUUGUCCUUCCUCUGGAAAUGGCAAUAAACCCUCCAAUCCCAUGUUCAGAUAAACUUUCUUACUCCCACAGGAAAAAAAAAAAAAAAAUCUUUAAAGAAUGUAAAGCUGUGUUUAAAAGAUUAUCUCCCUGUGGUAAUUAAAUGGAUUUUCAGGCGGAGGUUUCCCCAGAAAAGCAAGUAAUUGGCAUGUCAUGGCUCGUUAGGGUGGAACCAUGGUGCUCUGUGGGCUCUCUGUGAGUUGGGACCCAAGCUUUGCCAUCUGGGGUCCAUUCAUCAGUAUUUCAGCACGAGGAAUGAAAGUAACUGGAGCAGAGGGGAAGGGAAAGGAACACCACUUCUUCCGGGAACCUGUCCAUAGACAACAGCACUAUUUCACAAGAGUGGACGUGUGUACACUGGCCUCACAGAAUCCCGGCUCCCUACCCCUUGUUCUCUAACCAGGCGACUUCAUCUGAGAGUAAGGAGAGUCGGAAGAAAAACUUGCUAUGAGGAGUUGAUCCAAGGUCUGGACAUACACGGUAGAACCCUACUAAUUUUUCAGGCUGUCAACCUUUGGAUAUACCUUCUUGGAAAUGUUAGAGCUUGAAGGGAUUUCAAAAUUUCCUGUCCAACCUCUCAAUGGACACCAGUUUUCUCACUUGCGCAUGUUAGAGUCUUCACUGAGCUAUAUUUUAAUUUUCAAGAUCUCAGAGCCCUGGACUCAAAGCAACUCAACCCCACCAAGAUGGCAGAGGGAGAGGGUGGCUAGAGGACACCAAGGUAAGACCAUUACUCAGCGGAGGACAAAACCAAAUUCCUUAGGGACAGCAGGAAGCAGAGAUGGCGCAAUCAUGAGGUAGUAUGCAAACCCUCAGGUCAAGAAGAGGCACAGCUCUGGGGUGGCAAGCCUUCUACAGUGAGGCUGCCAGCCUUUUUGUUGCUCCCAAUGACGUUUGGACCCACGGCCAGGGUGGCAGAAGCUGCCGGCCAGGCACAAAAGGAAAAACCCCGUGAGUGAAGAGGCACAGCAAUGAGAUGAUGAUUUCUCCUUGGACACAUGACUGAAGGGAACUGGGUUAGAAGGACUUUCUCUUCCCAAAAGAGAGGUUCCAAAAGGUUCCAUGAAGAGGGCAUUCUAGUGCUAACUAAACUAAGAACUCUCUGGGGACAGGAGCAUCUCACUGUGACCACUGUGAACUCAUGUGGUGAUUAGGGUCACACACAUAACAGGCCUUUGGUAAACAGUUUCCCCAAGAAUAAAAGACCCCGAAGAACAGAGAGCUUGGGAAAGGUCAUCAGGAGGAAUUUUUCUUUUUCAUUGUGCCCUAGAUACUCUUUAUUGGAACUGACACUGGAUUAGGUAUUUGGGGCCAAGAAAGGCUAGGGAUAUGGGAUAUAAAAGGCAACAGAGUCGGUGUUGGCAAAAGCUUCUUCGGAAAGAGAAGCGGCUAUGUUGGAUGAGAAGAGUCCAGAAAACAAGAUUUCAGCGCCAGCCGUCCCACCACCUCAGUGAGCGGACCCUGAGCAAGUCACAUUCCCUGCCUGAGUCUCCUUUACCCUUCAUGCAAAUGAGAGAUUUGAACACUGUGCUCUGGAAGUUCCGUUCUGGCUCUCAGCUCCGAGAUGCAUGGAGAUUACUAGGACUAAGCGCCUCUACCCUCUGUAUCAGGCAGGUUUGAACGGGUUGCAGAGAGCCGCUCAUGCCAAGCAGCUAGCUCCCGGGUGUGUGACAAGGUGCCUGGUGGGAAGCGACUGUGGGACUGAGAACGCAGGGCACUGCUGCUCCCGGGCAGGGCGAGCCCCCGGCCUCAGGUACCUGCCGCGGAGUGAGCUGCCAUCCCCGCCUGUCUUUGAGCACCAGCCACAGCCCCUUAGGGGCAACAGGGUCUAAAAAGCGUUUUCUACUCCUGCUUUAUUAUUAUUAUUUGUAGUAGUUUUGAUCCUUACAACUCUAUAGGAUCAGCAAGGCAAAAACCGUACCAUUUUAUAGAUGAAGAAUUGAGAUUAAAUGAUUUGCCCUAAUUAGACCUUGGCUUAGUUACAGAGUUAUCUUGCCUGGGUCACAGAACCUCCAUGCCCUCCUGUUUUAGUAUUUAUCCAGGAGAUUUGGGGCAUGCCUGUUUCCUCCCUCUCCCGUGCUCUUCAGGAAGGCAAGGGCCAUGUCACGUUCGUCCCUGCCUCUCCCAUAAUGCCUGGCACAGAGCAGGCCCUCACCUGUUUGCGGAGCUGCAUUCUGAUGCUAAUUUUGUGCUUGUUCCUCUCCAGGGAAGCAUGCCCCUCUAUUAAUCCCCCUAGCUUCCCUACCACCCCGUAUCAUUUUUUUUCCCAUCAAAAAAGAAAAGAAAAAUUAGGUCACUUACUCAGGUUCAAAAUUUACCUUUCUAGCUUCCUAGUUUACCUGCAUGAGGAUGUGUUCUGUUUGGGAGCACUCAGUGAGAAAGAAAUCUGCUUUGCUGCGCUGUGGCCUGGGAGAUGGCCUGCCAAGUACAGGGCUUCACAGCAGUUCAUAGGAUCCCCCACCAGCACGGGAUGGCCAGUGUCCCCUUCCUGCACGGCUGGGGACCUUGGCAGAGCAGCCUCCCACCUUCGUGGCUUGUGAGUGCGAGGGGUGUGCGGUGCCGUGUGGGUGGGCACCAGGGAACCAGUAUUGGGGUGUUGUCAGUAGACCCCUUUUGACCCCCCACCCCUGGCCUCCGCCUGGGAGAUGUGUGACUUGUCGCUGAAGUAAUGCUGGCCUUUUGCAGGCAGCCCAGACUGUGGCUUUUCAACUUGGUCUCAGCUUCCACAUUCAUGCCAAGCGCCCUGGUGCCAGGAAACCUCACUUGGGACUAACUCUUCCAAAAGAGGCGUUUAUUUCCAGCUACCAUAAAAACUCCACUUUUCUCAGUUUUGACUUUGCCUUUCCAGUUAAUUGGAUUCCUCACAUGAUCCUGAUAGAGGAGAUCAUGUGUAUCUCCCAGUUUGUUUUUCCAAACAAAGUCAAAGCAUUAUUUCUUUCCAGCUCAUGUUUUUCUGUUCUGAAAUGUGACAGGAGAUUAACAUGGCACAGCUCAAAAUGCCUCUUGUGAUUUCUGAUUGGGAGUUAUGAGGCCCAGGGUACAAGAUCUGCAUUACCCAAGGACCAGAAUUUUUGUCUUGGAAAAUUUCAAAUACAUACAACAGCAGAGAGAAGAGCAAAAUGAACCUCCAUGUCCCCCAGCUUGGACAAUUAACCAUUGGCAAAAACAAAUCAGCCUCAUCUGUAUCGCACCCACUCUCCCCUAUCCCUGGAUAAUUCUGAAAGAAACCCAAAUCAUUUUCAUCUGUACAUACUUCAGUAUGUACCUCUAAAACAUAAGGGCCACGAUAUCAUUACCACACUUAAAAAGUUAACAAUUAAUUCCUUAAGGUUAUCAAAUCUCAUAAGAAUUCAGUUUUCUAGUUAUCUCAUCACUUUGUAAUGGUUUAUUUGUAAGCUUCAGGAUUCAAGUCAGGUCCAUAUAUUGCAGUUAGUUGAUGUAUUAUGGCCUAGAUCUCAAUUUGAUGGUGUGAUGCCUCAUCAGAGAACCACUGGCCCCACUUCUUCCAAGGCUCAAAAUCCCAGAGCCAGGUUGGCUCUGUCCAUCCUUUGCCCUCAGUCGGUCAUGGAGUCGCACGUUUCUGUUACCACCACCACCUCUACCACCCCAGGACUAGCCCUCAUCAUGUCACACUGUACAGGCUUCCUGCAGGGUCCCUGCCUCAGCCUUUCCUGUUGGCUGCCAGCCUCCUUUCUUGUGACCAAGUUUAACCAGACAUAGCCCCUCCCUGUCUCCAAAGCGUGCCCGCCCCACCCAACAAAGCAGAGCAGAGCGUAGCCAUCUUUCAUGGCCUGAAACACCUCAGCCUGUCAAGGCCUUCAGUAGCCCUCAGACCCUUCCCAGUCAGCCCCCAUGGUCGGGCCGGCAUCCCCAUCCUCAGAACAAGUUAUGAACUCGAACUUCACAGACGUUCUUAUGCUAAAAAUGUGCUUAAAAUGCCUCCCUCUUUCCCCUUCACCUUUCCAAAUCUUGUCCACGCUUCAAAGUCCAGCUCAAGUCCUGCCAAAGCUACUCCAGUGCUUUCUUCCUGCGCCCAACCCCCGACCUGCUGGGGGUUCGCAUGGUGGUACAGUGAUGGGAAUGCUUGUUUGAGUCUCGUGCAUGAUUGCUGUCUCCAAGCCAGCACCUCAACCGGCUCCAGACUAGAACUCUGUCUGCGGAUUUCAAAGUCCCUUUGAAGACUACAGCUUUGUGUCACAUCCCUCCCGCAUGUCUGACAUAGCGGCCCUUACGAAACACUUAAGAAAUUGAUUUGGAGCGUUUCUUAAGCUCGUUUCAGAAAUCUAGCCAUAAAGGGGUGAGAGAAGAGCGUGUGUGUGUGUACGCACAUGGUUAUAGGAAGGUGAGGAUAACAAGAAGGGUUUUGUUCUUAAUGGGGAGACUUAAGCACACUUCCAUACAGAAGGGAAAGGGGAGGAGAGAAGGACGGUUGGGUCCAGGAGAAGGAGGAGUCUAUGGAUGGAGCGUGGCCCUGAGAAGACAGCGGGCUGCGGAGGGUCCAGCCAGCGGAGGUAGAAAUUCACUCCGGGCUGAAGGAGGCACUCGAUAAAUGUUCAUCAUGUGGAUCAAGAACACUGAAGCCUGCCUGGAAAUGAAGCCCAUGAAGUAAAAACCCAGUCAGAAAUCUGGGAACUCAGCAGGACUGCAAAGCUGAUCAGAGAGGACUGGCUAUGGGAAGACAAGCCGUCUGGUUUUCCGCAUUCCACAAUGCAUGCCACCAAAGUGCACCAAUGAGCCUAAAAAAGUCAGUGUGAUUUUUUUUUUUAAUGAACUUAUAUAUCACUACUUUCUUACUACAUCUUGUGGGGUUUUUUGAAAAAAAGAUUUUAUUUAUUUAUUUGAGAGAGAUAGAGCACUAACAGUGGGGAGGGGCAGAGGGAGAGGGAGAAGCAGAC